rnacentral:rRNA from 1 species
CCUACGGGUGGCAGCAGUGAGGAAUAUUGGUCAAUGGCCGGAAGGCUGAACCAGCCAAGCCGCGUGAAGGAAGAAGGUGCCAAGCAUUGUAAACUUCUUUUGUCAAGGGACAAAAUCAGGCUCGAGAGCCUGACCGAGGGUACUUGAAGAAAAAGCAUCGGCUAACUCCGUGCCAGCAGCCGCGGUAAUACGGGGGAUGCGAGCGUUAUCCGGAUUUAUUGGGUUAAAGGGGUGCGUGGGCGUGCUGUUAAGUCAGCGGUAAAAGCCCGGGGCUCAACCCCGGCGAGCCGUUGAAACUGGCUGUCUUGAGAUGUCGAGAGGUAUGCGGAAUGCGCAGUGUAGCGGUGAAAUGCUUAGAGAUUGCGCAGAACACCGAUUGCGAAGGCAGCAUACCGGCGGCGAUCUGACGCUGAGGCACGAAAGCGUGGGUAGCGAACAGGAUUAGAUACCCUAGUAGUC